rnacentral:rRNA from 1 species
GACGAACGCUGGCGGCGUGCUUAACACAUGCAAGUCGAACGGAAAGGCUCCAGCUUGCUGGAGUGCUCGAGUGGCGAACGGGUGAGUAACACGUGGGCAAUCUGCCCUGCACUCUGGGAUAAGCCUGGGAAACUGGGUCUAAUACCGGAUAGGACCUUUCUCCUCAUGGGGUUUGGUGGAAAGUUUUUCGGUGCAGGAUGAGCCCGCGGCCUAUCAGCUUGUUGGUGGGGUAAUGGCCUACCAAGGCGACGACGGGUAGCCGGCCUGAGAGGGUGAUCGGCCACAUUGGGACUGAGAUACGGCCCAGACUCCGACGGGAGGCAGCAGUGGGGAAUAUUGCACAAUGGGCGAAAGCCUGAUGCAGCGACGCCGCGUGAGUGAUGACGGCCUUCGGGUUGUAAACCUCUUUCAGUAGGGACGAAGCGCAAGUGACGGUACCUGCAGAAGAAGCACCGGCUAACUACGUG